AGGGUUCGAUUAUGGCUCAGGAUGAACGCUAGCGGCAGGCUUAACACAUGCAAGUCGAGGGGUAACAGGGAUUGCUUGCAAUCCGCUGACGACCGGCGCACGGGUGCGUAACGCGUAUGCAACCUACCUUCUACAGGGGAAUAGUCAAUAGAAAUGUUGAAUAAUACCCCAUACGAUCUUUGAAUAGCAUUAUUUAGAGAAGAAAGUUCCGGCGGUAGAAGAUGGGCAUGCGUCCUAUUAGUUAGUUGGAGAGGUAAUGGCUCCCCAAGACAUCGAUAGGUAGGGGUCCUGAGAGGGAGACCCCCCACACUGGUACUGAGACACGGACCAGACUCCUACGGGAGGCAGCAGUGAGGAAUAUUGGACAAUGGAGGCAACUCUGAUCCAGCCAUGCCGCGUGCAGGAAGACUGCCCUAUGGGUUGUAAACUGCUUUUAUACAGGAAGAAAUGUACCUACGUGUAGGUAUUUGACGGUACUGUACGAAUAAGGAUCGGCUAACUCCGUGCCAGCCGCCGCGGUGAUAC
rnacentral:rRNA from 1 species